AUUGAACUAUAGCGGGAUGCUCACAUGCAAGUCGAACGGCAGCGCGAGAGAGAGUGCUCUCUUGGCGGCGAGUGGCGGACGGGUGAGUAAUAUAUCGGAACGUGCCCAGUAGCGGGGGAUAACUACUCGAAAGAGUGGCUAAUACCGCAUACGCCCUACGGUAGAAAGGACGGGAUCGCAAGACCUCUCACUAUUGGAGCGGCCGAUAUCGGAUUAGCUAGUUGGUGGGGUAAAGGCUCACCAAGGCAACGAUCCGUAGCUGGUUUGAGAGGACGACCAGCCACACUGGGACUGAGACACGGCCCAGACUCCUACGGGAGGCAGCAGUGGGGAAUUUUGGACAAUGGGGGAAACCCUGAUCCAGCCAUCCCGCGUGUAUGAUGAAGGCCUUCGGGUUGUAAGCUACUUUUGGCAGAGAAGAAAAGGUACCUCCUAAUACGAGGUACUGCUGACGGUAUCUGCAGAAUAAGCACCGGCUAACUACGUGCCAGCAGCCGCGGUAAUACGUAGGGUGCAAGCGUUAAUCGGAAUUACUGGGCGUAAAGCGUGUGUAGGCGGUUCGGAAAGAAUGAUGUGAAAUCCCAGGGCUCAACCUUGGAACUGCAUUUGUAACUGCCGAGCUAGAGUAUGUCAGAGGGGGGUAGAAUUCCACGUGUAGCAGUGAAAUGCGUAGAUAUGUGGAGGAAUACCGAUGGCGAAGGCAGCCCCCUGGACUAAUACUGACGCUCAGACACGAAAGCGUGGGGAGCAAACAGGAUUAGAUACCCUGGUAGUCCACGCCCUAAACGAUGUCAACUAGCUGUUGUAGCCGUUAGGCCUUAGUAGCGCAGCUAACGCGUGAAGUUGACCGCCUGGGGAGUACGGUCGCAAGAUUAAAACUCAAAGGAAUUGACGGGGACCCGCACAAGCGGUGGAUGAUGUGGAUUAAUUCGAUGCAACGCGAGCAACCUUACCUACCCUUGACAUGUCUGGAUAGCCGAAGAGAUUUGGCCGUGCUCGCAAGAGAGUCGGAACACACGUGCUGCAUGGCUGUACUGAGCUCGUGUCGUGAGAUGUUGGGUUAAGUCCUGCAACGAGCGCACCCUUGUCAUUAGUUGCUACGCAAGAGCACUCUAAUGAGACUGCCGGUGACAAACCGGAUGAAGGUGGGGAUGACGUCAAGUCCUCAUGGCCCUUAUGGGUAGGGCUUCACACGUCAUACAAUGGUCGGGACAGAGCGUCGCCAACCCGCGAGGGGGAGCCAAUCUCAGAAACCCGAUCGUAGUCCGGAUCGCAGUCUGCAACUCGACUGCGUGAAGUCGGAAUCGCUAGUAAUCGCGGAUCAGAAUGUCGCGGUGAAUACGUUCCCGAUUCUUGUACACACCGCCCGUCACACCAUGGGAGUGGACUUCACCAGAAGUAGGUAGCCUAACCGUAAGGAGGGCGAGUACCACGGUGGGAUGCAUGUUUGGGGUA
rnacentral:rRNA from 1 species